AUACAGGGGGUGCGAGCGUUAAUCGGAAUUACUGGGCGUAAAGAGUACGUAGGCGGUUGCUUAAGUCAGAUGUGAAAGCCCCGGGCUCAACCUGGGAACUGCAUUUGAAACUGAGUGACUAGAGUUUGAGAGAGGGGAGUAGAAUUCCGGGUGUAGCGGUGAAAUGCGUAGAGAUCAGGAGGAAUACCAGUGGCGAAGGCGGCCCCCUGGAUCAAUACUGACGCUGAGGUACGAAAGCGUGGGGAGCGAACAGGAUUAGAAACCCUGGUAGUCC
rnacentral:rRNA from 1 species